GGCUCAGUGGUAGAGCGCUUGCCUUGCAUGCAUGAAGCCCUGGGUUCGAUUCCUCAG
rnacentral:tRNA from 1 species